UAAAAAUUAGUACUAUCUAAAGUAACAAUAGUUAGGAGAGGCAACCGAUUUUAUUUUUUUUAGUUUUGGCUUCAUAAGUAAAGUGACAUUAUUCCUUUCUUAACCGUUCAUACAUAAGACAUUUUGUUCUUCUUGAAAAAAAGCAUUCACAGUAACCACCAUAAGAAGGACACAACUCCAUCGUCUUUUUGUUUCACAAGUAUC
rnacentral:lncRNA from 1 species